ACAGGUGAUCGAUCACUUCCUGCAGGAUAUCCUUACUUUCACUAGGAGGAAGAUUGCUAAAAUAAUACUGAGGUGCCAGCUCCACGAACCUGUUGAGGAAUGCUCUGAAUAAAAGCAGAGGAAUGAAGCAAUGAUAAGCAGUGACAGAAGAAUACUGGCAACAAAGAAAUAAGACUUAUUCCACUUAUAUUUACUGGUUUGUAUGAAGACAAACACCAAUUUCUUCACCACUUCAGUGAUGCCAACUCCUCCUGCUUGACUAGGCCAGGUCACAGAACUGAAAUCAGAUUGGUAGUGCUGCCCAUCAUCAUAUGCUGUUAAAGGACAGUUUUUCUUGGUCCUCUCCAGCAUUCAGCAUUACUGAACACGGAGCAGUCCCAUGCCCUGCAUCACAAAGGCAUGUGAGCACAGAAGCUGUACUUCUUUCUUCAAGAGUCCCCAACAACCUUUUCUUUUUUCUUUUUGUUCUUAAGCAUUUUCUGACGUUUAGAGACAGUUGAUAGAUGAACUGGCCUGACAGCAUGGGUCUCGUUACCUUCAGUUUUUAUUUAGUAUACACAGAUCUACCACUCUGAGUUGAGUGAACCUGACCAAGAUGCAUGAGCACAGGUAAAUGUUCUGAAGACAGCUGUACUCUUUAAUUUCUUCCCUUAAGCCUUUCUUUAUUCAUGAGGUAUAAAACCUAGUGAUUGUUAGGCUACUGGGAAUUCAAGGCUGUGUUCUUGUCAUGUCAUGCCUUAAACCUGGGUUAUGUGCACUUGGAGGAAGCAUCUUUCUGGUUUUGUACAGUGGCACAUAAAUGACAAGUAUAAUCAGCUGCUUACAUAUCCAUGUUAGAUAAGGUAGGCUAUCCUCAGUUACUUCUAAUUAUUUAAUAAACCAGUGUUGUAUUUGCAGUGGCAGCUAUCUUAGGUGACUCUUCUUGCAAAUUUGACAGUUCUAAAAAGAAUCAUUCAAAAAGUGCUCAUGAAUCAAAUGCCAACAAUGACUGUUCCAUUUGAAAUAUAUAAAAAAAAACCAAAACAUGUUACCAGCGUGUUUUGUUUGGUCUGAAAUGGGUGCACUUACACUGGCCUGCAGAGUUUGUGCUGGCUUGCUUGAAGGCAUUGAAGACAUUGAUAAGAGUAAAAUGAUCUCCUGCUGGGUGUGAGAAUUUUCUCCAGCAGGUAAGGGCAAUCUCUUCUGUUCCAGAAGGUGCGUGCAGGAAGCAAUUAGGAGCUUAGGGAAAAAAAAACACAGAAGCUAACAGUUAUUAAAAUUCAUGCACCAACAAGGCCCUCUAGCAGUAGCCACACUGGUGUUUGUGUUUCUUUUUCUCAGUUUCCUGUGUUGGAUUAAUGCUGACCUGAAUACACUGCAUUCAUAUUUAUGUGGCUUUUCCUUCAAUCUCUUGUUUAGUAAAUCUUCACUAUGAGCACCAAAGGUGAGUGGCCUUCUCCCACACUGGUGCCAAAAAUGCUUUGUAAUAGCCUGGUCCAAUCUAUCCACAAUCCAAGUGUGUGGUUUAACUUAGAAAAGAAAGAAAUGUACUUAUGUAAUGCCUGGGUUUGCCCUUCUGUGCUAAAGUUCUACUUUUGUUGUGACACCUAACUGCAUCUUUUGAGAUGGUUGAGCUUUUCAAAAACUAAAAUAUGCCUAUGCUCAGCUGUUCAUGUUUGUUUUAUUUACUUCAAAAUUGCAUCAUGUUAAGGCCUGCUCACUAAAAAUCAAACCAUCUGGGGCAUAAAAACAGUUUGUGCUGUAAGGAGAUGGAUUAGUGAAGCUUGGUUUCCUGUACAUUCAUGAUUUCCUCGCUGCUUAAGGCUUUGCUCCACUUUCUGUUCCAAGGAUAUUCACCGUGGGCAGAGUCAACAGUUCAGUACUGGUUAUAAUUAGAAAAUCCCCCUAAUUUACAGCUCCAGUCUGUAACAAAUGUGUGUGAAUGUAAUGAGAUAUUGUUUUGAAGGAACAUUGUGUGUAUGCUUUCUGGAACAGGUUGCCCAAGGAGGCUGUGGAUGCCCCAUCCCUGC